UGGAAAAAGUAUGUGAACCCUUGGAUUUAAUAACUGGUUGAACCUCCUUUGGCAGCAAUAACUUCAACCAAACGUUUCCUGUAGUUGCAGAUCAGACGUGCACAACGGUCAGGAGUAAUUCUUGACCAUUCCUCUUUACAGAACUGUUUCAGUUCAGCAAUAUUCUUGGGAUGUCGGGUGUGAAUCGCUUUCUUGAGGUCAUGCC